UCUGGGAGAAGAAUCUGCCCCA
rnacentral:siRNA from 1 species